UAUUUAAAUACUCACAUAUAUUUUCUUCUAGCACUUGCUAACACAUCUGGAAUUUAAUUUGGUAUGAGGUGAAGUCUUCGUCUUAAAUGAUGGUGGAGAAGUUGAUUUGGACCUUGGAAAUUAUGAAAGAUUUUUGGAUAUUAGUCUUUAUAAAGACAACAACAUCACCACCGGGAAGAUAUAUCAGCAUGUGAUCAAUAAAGAGAGGCAUGGCGAUUACCUGGGGAAAACAGUGCAAGUUGUCCCUCACAUUACUGAUGCUGUCCAGGAGUGGGUUAUGAAUCAAGCCAAGGUGCCAGUGGAUGGUAAUAAGGAGCCUCAAAUAUGCGUUA